UACAGAGGUCCCAAGCGUUGUUCGGAUUCAUUGGGCGUAAAGGGUGCGUAGGCGGCCGGGUAAGUCUGAUGUGAAAUCCCGCAGCUUAACUGCGGAACUGCAUCGGAUACUCUCCGGCUAGAGGAAUGGAGGGGAGACUGGAAUUCUCGGUGUAGCAGUGAAAUGCGUAGAUAUCGAGAGGAACACCAGUGGCGAAGGCGAGUCUCUGGACAUUUCCUAACGCUGAGGCACGAAAGCCAGGGGAGCAAACGGG
rnacentral:rRNA from 1 species